rnacentral:tRNA from 1 species
AUUGAGUUAGUUUAAUUAAAACCUUAGGAUGUGGGCCUACAAAUGAAAGUCUAUUUUCACUCAAUA